rnacentral:rRNA from 1 species
GCCGCUUUAGCGUUAAGGUAGCGUAAUAAUUAGCCUCUUAAUUGGGGGCAUGUAUGAAUGGGAGAAUUAGAAACCUUGGUUUUGAAAUUCAUAUGAAUUUUUCUAAUGGUGAGAAAACCAUUGUAAUAUUUUAAGACGAUAAGACCCUAUGAAGCUGACUACCACAAAUAUAUUAAAAAGCCAAUGUGUAGAUUGUUUGGGGAAAAAUUUAAAAUUAUUAUUAAUAAAAAAGAAAUAUACUGAUCUUUAAAAAAUUAAAUGAACAAGCUACUCUAGGGAUAACAGCGUAAUAAUUAUAAGAGACCUUAUCAAAAUAAUUGUUUGUGACCUCGAUGUUGAAUA